UCAAGAUAAAACAGAAGUCUUGCAGAGUUCUCAUUCCAGAUGGAAUUCAGGCAACCUUCAGGGUGGAAGAGUAGAAGACCACAGAAUGAUGUUUACUUGGCAUUUGUACUUAAUGCAAUCAUAUAUUCAAGCAGUACUCUACAUAUAUAUAACUGAUUACAUGAUGUCUUUAACCCUUUACACUCCAAUAUCAGAAUGCAUAUUCUCCAAACUGUUCUCUAUAUAUUUCCUUAUGUGCUGGCAAGGAGAAUUUGUUUAACAAUCAAGAGGUUCUUCAGUUGAUUAUCAUUUCCUUUAUUCUCAUGACCUUAAUGUGUGACUCAGGGGUGAUAUUGAAUGGAGAAAUUAGAUGCUAGUCACUCUCAGGGAUUAAAGUGUUAUUAGCUGUACACAUUUUCAUGUAUAUGCUCCUCGCAUUUGUUGGCAACAAUAGCUAAGAUUGUUAGGAAAGCAAACAAACAAGUGAACAGAAGACAGUGAAAUGAGGGAAACUGUAAACUUUACCAUGUGAUAGAAAAACAUCACAGAAUACUUAAAGAGGGGAAACUUGAAUUGUGCUAGCUAAUUUCCUCUAUUGCCAUUCAUGUUUUUGAUCAAAUAAAAUUUAACCCUUUAACUCCCAGUUCAAAUUUGUAAUUCUCCUUACUGUCAACUAUACAAUUCUUAUAAUGUUAGUUCUAAGAAUUUAGUAUUGGAUCAACUAAUUAUUCUCAAGUUUAUAUUUUUCUUUAUUCUCAUCACUUAUCUUCAAAUUUUCAACUUUGUAUUAAUUGUAGCUGUUUACUAUGUCUUAAUUCUCUGUACCAUAAGCCCUCAAAAGUUGAAGCAGGCAAGUCAAUAACCUGACUUCCUUUGUUUGGAAUUGUGUGAUUAUAUAAUUUUGCUGUGUUGGUUACCAUACUGUAACAUGUAAUAUUAUUAUUUAGAUUGCAUUAAAUACACUAGCUCAAGCUUUCA